UACAGAGGUCCCAAGCGUUGUUCGGAUUCACUGGGCGUAAAGGGUGCGUAGGCGGUUGGGUAAGUCUGAUGUGAAAUCUCACAGCUUAACUGUGAAACUGCAUUGGAUACUAUCCAACUCGAGGAAUGGAGGGGAGACUGGAAUACUUGGUGUAGCAGUGAAAUGCGUAGAUAUCAAGUGGAACACCAGUGGCGAAGGCGAGUCCCUGGACAACACCUGACACUGAGGCACGAAAGCUAGGGGAGCAAACAGG
rnacentral:rRNA from 1 species